GUGCUCACUUCGGCAGCACGUAUACUAAAAUUGGAACAGUACAGAGAAGAUUAGCAAGGUCCCUGAGCAAGCAUGACAUGUAAAUCUGUGAAGCGUUCCAUAUUUUU